CUUUCACCAUUCUCUUUCAAACAUUCACUUUUCAUCUUUCUAUCAAAUUGAGGGAAAGAAAAGCUCAAAACAUUGAAGUCGUCUCUAAAAUCUGAUCACGAACAAUCAACGAUCUGUUUCUCCAUUGGUUCAGCGGAAUCUAUUUUUCUUUUGCUUGUUUCUCGAAGUCCAACCUUGUGAUUUUUUUAUCCUAGUUUAAUUUUUUAUGGGUUUCCAGUGAAUUAUUGUGUUUUGAAUUUUUUUUGGGGGAUAUGUUGCAUUUAAUUUGAUUUGGGUUUGCUUUUAUUUUGUAGGUAAGCAUGAUUGUAUGCUUUGAAGAUAUAAUUUUACUUUGUAAUUUCCGUAAUUUCUGUAAGCUAAUUAUCAGGACGUGUUGCAUUCUUUUCGUUUGUAAUCUCUGCAAGGAUUUUGGUUUAUUCUUUUUAGCUUUGCAUUGAGUGCUUUGAAUGUAAUUGCAGGAUGAUAUAUUGACAUGGAAAUAUGUCAUACUAAUAUUGUCACUUUUUGUAUGUGUAAAUGAGUUUUCUACUGUAA